GGACGUUGUUUGUAUGUACUUGUUGGUGAAAUGUGAACAGGACAUUGUGUACAGGGUAUAAGUAUUGUAUGAUAUAUAGUGAGGACAUCGUGUACAGGGUAUUAUUGGUAGGUGAUAUAUAGUGAGGACAUCAUGUACAGGGCAUCAUUGGUAGGUGACAUAUGGUGAGGACAUCGUGUACAGGUAUCAUUGGUAUGUGAUAUAUAGUGAGGACAUCGUGUACAGGUAUCAUUGGUAUGUGAUACAUAGUGAGGACAUCGUGUACAGGGCAUCAUUGGUAGGUGACAUAUGGUGAGGACAUCGUGUACAGGUAUCAUUGAUAUGUGAAAUAAAGUGAGGACAUCGUGUACAGGGCAUCAUUGGUAGGAGAUAUAUAGUGAGGACAUCGUGUACAGGGCAUCAUUGGUAGGUGAUAUAUAGUGAGGACAUCGUGUACAGGGCAUCAUUGGUAGGUGAUAUGUAGUGAGGACAUCGUGUACAGGGCAUCAUUGGUAGGUGACAUAUAGUGAGGACAUCAUGUACAGGGCAUCAUUGGUAGGUGAUAUGUAGUGAGGACAUCGUGUGCAGGGUAUCAUUGGUAGGAGAUAUAUAGUGAGGACAUCGUGUACAGGGCAUCAUUGGUAGGUGAUAUAUAGUGAGGACAUCGUGUACAGGGCAUCAUUGGUAGGUGAUAUGUAGUGAGGACAUCGUGUACAGGGCAUCAUUGGUAGGUGACAUAUAGUGAGGACAUCAUGUACAGGGCAUCAUUGGUAGGUGAUAUGUAGUGAGGACAUCGUGUACAGGGCAUCAUUGGUAGGUGAUAUGUAGUGAGGACAUCGUGUACAGGGCAUCAUUGGUAGGUGACAUAUAGUGAGGACAUCAUGUACAGGGCAUCAUUGGUAGGUGAUAUAUAGUGAGGACAUCGUGUGCAGGGUAUCAUUCCCGUCUUGAAUGCCCUUGAGUUGGUUGCCCCCUGUGUAGGUUGCCUCUGUAUAGGUUGCCUCUCACCUGAAUGUCCCUGUGUAGUUUUCUUCUGUGUGAGAUUCCUGUGUAGAAUGCACCUUGUGUAUAUUGCCCCUGUAUUGGUUGCCACUGUGUAGGUUGCCCCUUUUGUAUGUUGCCCCUGAAUUAUUUGCCCUUGAGUAGGUUGCCUCUUUUGUACAUUGCCCCUGAAUUAGUUGCCCUUUUUGUACAUUGCCCCUGAAUUAGUUGCCCUUGAGUAGGUUGCCCCUUGAGUAGUUGCCCUUGAGUAGGUUGCCCCUUUGUAUGUUGCCCUUGAGUAGGUUGCCC